GAUGAAGAACGUAGCGAAAUGCGAUAAUUAAUGUGAAUUGCAGAAUUCAGUGAAUCAUCGAGUCUUUGAACGCACAUUGCGCCCCCUGGUAUUCCGGGGGGCAUGCCUGUCCGAGCGUCAUUGCUGCCCUCAAGCACGGCUUGUGUGUUGGGCUUCCGUCCCUGGUAACGGGGACGGGCCCAAAAGGCAGUGGCGGCACCAUGUCUGGUCCUCGAGCGUAUGGGGCUUUGUCACCCGCUCCCGUAGGUCCAGCUGGCAGCUAGCCUCGCAACCAAUCUUUUUAACCAGGUUGACCUCGGAUCAGGUAGGGAUACCCGCUGAGCUUAAGCAUAUCAAUAAGCGGAGGA
rnacentral:misc_RNA from 1 species